rnacentral:rRNA from 1 species
CGAGUUGUUUGGGAUGCACUUUCCCCCCCCGGCCGGUUGGCUCUCCGAGCUCGGUCAUUUAGAGGAAGUAAAAGUCGUAACAUGGUCUCCGUUGGUGAACCAGCGGAGGGAUCAUUACCGAGUUUUCAACUCCCAAACCCUUAUGUGAACCUACCUAUCGUUGCUUCGGCGGACUCGCCCCAGCCGGACGCGGACUGGACCAGCGGCCGCCGGGGACCAUCAAACUCUUGUAUUAUCAGCAUCUUCUGAAUACGCCGCAAGGCAAAACAAAUAAAUUAAAACUUUCAACAACGGAUCUCUUGGCUCUGGCAUCGAUGAAGAACGCAGCGAAAUGCGAUAAGUAAUGUGAAUUGCAGAAUCCAGUGAAUCAUCGAAUCUUUGAACGCACAUUGCGCCCGCCAGCAUUCUGGCGGGCAUGCCUGUUCGAGCGUCAUUUCAACCCUCGACCUCCCUUUGGGGAAGUCGGCGUUGGGGACCGGCAGCACACCGCCGGCCCUGAAAUGGAGUGGCGGCCCGUCCGCGGCGACCUCUGCGUAGUAAACCAACUCGCACCGGAACCCCGACGUGGCCACGCCGUAAAACACCCAACUUCUGAACGUUGACCUCGAAUCAGGUAGGACUACCCGCUGAACUUAAGCAUAUCAAUAAGCGGAGGAAAAGAAACCAACAGGGAUUGCCCCAGUAACGGCGAGUGAAGCGGCAACAGCUCAAAUUUGAAAUCUGGCCCUCGGGUCCGAGUUGUAAUUUGUAGAGGAUGCCUUUGGCGGAG